UCCUGGCUCAGAAUGAACGCUGGCGGCGUGCUUAACACAUGCAAGUCGCACGAGAACACCUCAGCUUGCUGGGGUAAGUAAAGUGGCGUACGGGUGAGUAACGCGUGGGUAAUCUGCCCUCGAAUCUGGGAUAACCCCGCGAAAGCGGGGCUAAUACCGGAUGAAAUCCAGUUAGCUUUGGCUAUAUGGAUCAAAGGUGGCCUCUGCAUGCAAGCUACUGUUUGGGGAUGAGCCCGCGUACCAUUAGCUUGUUGGUGGGGUAAAGGCCCACCAAGGCGACGAUGGUUAGCUGGUCUGAGAGGAUGAUCAGCCACACUGGAACUGGAACACGGUCCAGACUCCUACGGGAGGCAGCAGUGAGGAAUUUUGCGCAAUGGGGGUAACCCUGACGCAGCAACGCCGCGUGAGUGAUGAAGGCCUUCGGGUCGUAAAGCUCUGUCAAGUGGGAAGAACCCAUUCCGGCACAACAAGCCGGGGUGCUGACGGUACCACUGAAGGAAGCACCGGCUAACUCCGUGCCAGCAGCCGCGGUAAUACGGAGGGUGCGAGCGUUAUUCGGAAUUACUGGGCGUAAAGGGCGCGUAGGCGGCCGAUUAAGUCAGAUGUGAAAUCCCGGGGCUUACCCCCGGAAGUGCAUUUGAUACUGAACGGCUUGAGUAUGGGAGAGGGAAGUGGAAUUCCUGGUGUAGCGGUGAAAUGCGUAGAUCUCAGGAGGAACACCGGUGGCGAAGGCGACUUCCUGGACCAAUACUGACGCUGAGGCGCGAAGGCGUGGGGAGCAAACAGGAUUAGAUACCCUGGUAGUCCACGCAGUAAACGGUGAUCACUAGGUGUAGCGGGUAUUGACCCC
rnacentral:rRNA from 1 species